GUGUCAGCAGCCGCGGUAAUACGGAGGAUGCAAGCGUUAUCCGGAAUUAUUGGGCGUAAAGCGUCCGCAGGCGGUUUCACAAGUCUGCUGUCAAAGACUGGAGCUUAACUCCGGGCAGGCGGUGGAAACUGUGAAACUAGAGUACGGUAGGGGUAGAGGGAAUUCCCAGUGUAGCGGUGGAAUGCGUAGAGAUUGGGAAGAACAACAGUGGCGAAGGCGCUCUACUGGGCCGUAACUGACGCUCAGGGACGAAAGCUAGGGGAGCGAAAGGGAUUAGAUACCCCAGAAGUCCUAGCUGUAAACGAUGGAUACUAGGCGUUGCUUGUAUCGACCCGAGCAGUGCCGCAGCUAACGCGUUAAGUAUCCCGCCUGGGGAGUACGCACGCAAGUGUGAAACUUAAAUGAAUUGACGGGG
rnacentral:rRNA from 1 species